rnacentral:rRNA from 1 species
AACCUUUACACUGCACGACAGUGCGAUAAGGGAAUCCCAAGUGCGUAGGCAUAGAGCCUACGCUUUUGUCCACCGUAGGGAGGUGGACGAAUAAGGGCUGGGCAAGACCGGUGCCAGCCGCCGCGGUAAUACCGGCAGCCCGAGUGAUGGCCGAUCUUAUUGGGCCUAAAGCGUCCGUAGCUGGCCGCACAAGUCCAUCGGAAAAUCCACCCGCUCAACGGGUGGGCGUCCGGUGGAAACUGUGUGGCUUGGGACCGGAAGGCGCGACGGGUACGUCCGGGGUAGGAGUGAAAUCCCGUAAUCCUGGACGGACCGCCGAUGGCGAAAGCACGUCGCGAGAACGGAUCCGACAGUGAGGGACGAAAGCUAGGGUCUCGAACCGGAUUAGAUACCCGGGUAGUCCUAGCCGUAAACAAUGCCUGCUAGGUGUGGCUCCCACUACGAGUGGGUGCUGUGCCGUAGGGAAGCCGCUAAGCAGGCCGCCUGAGAAGUACGUCCGCAAGGAUGAAACUUAA